UACGGGGGUAGCAAGCGUUGUUCGGAAUUACUGGGCGUAAAGGGCUCGUAGGCGGCCAACUAAGUCAGACGUGAAAUCCCCAGGCUCAACCUGGGAACUGCGCCUGAUACUGGAUGGCUUGAAUCCGGGAGAGGGAUGCAGAAUUCCAGGUGUAGCGGUGAAAUGCGUAGAUAUCUGGAGGAAUACCGGUGGCGAAGGCGGCAUCCUGGACCGGCAUUGACGCUGAGGAGCGAAAGCCAGGGGAGCAAACGGG
rnacentral:rRNA from 1 species